CAGUAUCCGGAGUUAUCAUAACAGUGUCCCUCAUAAAGAAUCUCCUCAAUGCAUUUUUGUAUAGAAGAGAACCUCUGAAGUAUAUAGCUUAAGGCUGGGUUCUAACAAAUCAGUCCUCAUUUACUGUCUUCUCUGAUUCUAUCACCAUUCCCUUUUUCAGGCAUAAUUUCUGUUGUGGGGGCCAGAGGGUGAGGGGAAGAGUCUCUAUCCUUCAGGGAAGCCUUUUUUAUUCAUCCCCUAUUAUUCUGGGCUACCAUCUAAAUCCUAGACCUAGUAGUCUCACUAGCUGUGAGGGUACUGGACAAGCAAUAUGAUGUACUGGAAAUCUAGCUAUAUGACUGGGAGCAAGUUAAUUUACCUAGAUGAAUCUCAGCUUUUUCAUCUGUAAAGUGGGGACAAUAAUGCUUACACUACCUACCUAAAGGGAUUGUUGUAAAGAAAAUGUUUCCUAAUCUUAAAGUAUGAUAAAAAUGUGAAAUAUUCUCAUCAUUUUUCUAUUUUCCAAUAGCUCCCCCUACUGCUAGACAUAGUUGGGACCUCAGCAUCAUCUAUCCAUACUACCUUGAUCAACUAGAUGUGGAGACAUUCUGUAUCAAAGAAGAACGUGAUUCAUCUGGUGAUUAAUUUUUUCUCCAACAUAGAAAUUCACUGAAAUGUUUAUCAAGUCAUCUAAGAGUUAUAAUUUGUGUCAAUGAAGGGAGAACCCACAGUAAAUAAAUUACAGAUCCUUAAAAUAUUGACUUAAAAAAUUAAUUGACAUGUCUUAGCUGAAUCAUCCUAUAUUUCCAGCACUCUCUCCCAUUCAGAGAAGAUUAAUGGCCAGUUAUUUGAAGCCUAAAAUUGAAACUGCAGUAUUAUAUGUAAUUAAAGUGAAAUCUAUAAAAAUGA